rnacentral:rRNA from 1 species
CUGCUCAAUGAAUUUUUUAAAUAGCUGCAGUAUAAAUAACUGUACAAAGGUAGCAUAAUAAAUAGGUUUUUAAUUGAAAUCUAGAAUGAAAGAAUAAAUGAAAUAUAAGCUGUUUCUAUAAUAAAUAUAAAACUUAUUUUUUAAGUAAAAAAACUUAAAUAAUAAAAAAAGACGAGAAGACCCUAUAGAAUUUUAUAAUAAUUAUAAUUUUUAAAUUUAUUUUUAAAUAAAUCAAUUAUUUAUUUUUUUGGGGCAAAAUUUAAAUUUUAAACUUUAAUUUUAUUUUAAUCAAAAAUAAUUGUUUAAAAAAUCCUAAAAUUUAGAUUAAAAAAAUUAAUUACCUUAGGGAUAACAGCAUAAUUUUUUUAUAAAGUUCUUAUAUAAAAAAAAGUUUAUGACCUCGAUGUUGAAUUAAGAUAUAAUUUUAACGAAAAAAUUAAAAAAUUUAAGUCUGUUCGACU